CCAAAGGCCCUUUUCAGGGCCAUAAAAAAAAUAAAAAUUAAAAAAA
rfam:TPA: Bos taurus chromosome 11, whole genome shotgun sequence.